CGCGGCGCAUUAGCUAGUUGGUGAGGUAAUGGCUCACCAAGGCAACGAUGCGUAGCCGACCUGAGAGGGUGAUCGGCCACACUGGGACUGAGACACGGCCCAGACUCCUACGGGAGGCAGCAGUAGGGAAUCUUCCGCAAUGGACGAAAGUCUGACGGAGCAACGCCGCGUGAGUGAUGAAGGUUUUCGGAUCGUAAAGCUCUGUUGUUAGGGAAGAACAAGUACCGUUCGAAUAGGGCGGUACCUUGACGGUACCUAACCAGAAAGCCACGGCUAACUACGUGCCAGCAGCCGCGGUAAUACGUAGGUGGCAAGCGUUGUCCGGAAUUAUUGGGCGUAAAGGGCUCGCAGGCGGUUUCUUAAGUCUGAUGUGAAAGCCCCCGGCUCAACCGGGGAGGGUCAUUGGAAACUGGGGAACUUGAGUGCAGAAGAGGAGAGUGGAAUUCCACGUGUAGCGGUGAAAUGCGUAGAGAUGUGGAGGAACACCAGUGGCGAAGGCGACUCUCUGGUCUGUAACUGACGCUGAGGAGCGAAAGCGUG
rnacentral:rRNA from 1 species